AGAGUUUGAUCCUGGCUCAGAUUGAACGCUGGCGGCAUGCCUUACACAUGCAAGUCGAACGGCAGCACGGGAGCUUGCUCCUGGUGGCGAGUGGCGAACGGGUGAGUAAUAUAUCGGAACGUACCCUAGAGUGGGGGAUAACGUAGCGAAAGUUACGCUAAUACCGCAUACGAUCUACGGAUGAAAGUGGGGGAUCGCAAGACCUCAUGCUCAUGGAGCGGCCGAUAUCUGAUUAGCUAGUUGGUGGGGUAAAAGCUCACCAAGGCGACGAUCAGUAGCUGGUCUGAGAGGACGACCAGCCACACUGGAACUGAGACACGGUCCAGACUCCUACGGGAGGCAGCAGUGGGGAAUUUUGGACAAUGGGCGCAAGCCUGAUCCAGCAAUGCCGCGUGAGUGAAGAAGGCCUUCGGGUUGUAAAGCUCUUUUGUCAGGGAAGAAACGGUUCGGGCUAAUAUCCUGGGCUAAUGACGGUACCUGAAGAAUAAGCACCGGCUAACUACGUGCCAGCAGCCGCGGUAAUACGUAGGGUGCAAGCGUUAAUCGGAAUUACUGGGCGUAAAGCGUGCGCAGGCGGUUAUGCAAGACAGAUGUGAAAUCCCCGGGCUCAACCUGGGAAUUGCAUUUGUGACUGCACGGCUAGAGUGUGUCAGAGGGGGGUAGAAUUCCACGUGUAGCAGUGAAAUGCGUAGAGAUGUGGAGGAAUACCGAUGGCGAAGGCAGCCCCCUGGGAUAACACUGACGCUCAUGCACGAAAGCGUGGGGAGCAAACAGGAUUAGAUACCCUGGUAGUCCACGCCCUAAACGAUGUCUACUAGUUGUCGGGUCUUAAUUGACUUGGUAACGCAGCUAACGCGUGAAGUAGACCGCCUGGGGAGUACGGUCGCAAGAUUAAAACUCAAAGGAAUUGACGGGGACCCGCACAAGCGGUGGAUGAUGUGGAUUAAUUCGAUGCAACGCGAAAAACCUUACCUACCCUUGACAUGUCUGGAAUCCUUGAGAGAUCAGGGAGUGCUCGAAAGAGAAUCAGAACACAGGUGCUGCAUGGCUGUCGUCAGCUUGUGUCGUGAGAUGUUGGGUUAAGUCCCGCAACGAGCGCAACCCUUGUCAUUAGUUGCUACGAAAGGGCACUCUAAUGAGACUGCCGGUGACAAACCGGAGGAAGGUGGGGAUGACGUCAAGUCCUCAUGGCCCUUAUGGGUAGGGCUUCACACGUCAUACAAUGGUACAUACAGAGGGCCGCCAACCCGCGAGGGGGAGCUAAUCCCAGAAAGUGUAUCGUAGUCCGGAUUGUAGUCUGCAACUCGACUACAUGAAGUUGGAAUCGCUAGUAAUCGCGGAUCAGCAUGUCGCGGUGAAUACGUUCCCGGGUCUUGUACACACCGCCCGUCACACCAUGGGAGCGGGUUUCACCAGAAGUGGGUAGCCUAACCGCAAGGAGGGCGCUCACCA
rnacentral:rRNA from 1 species